rnacentral:tRNA from 1 species
CAUUAAAUAUCUUAAUUAAAGAAAUAAUCUUUUAAAUUAUAUAUAGUAAAAUUAAUUUACUUUUAAUGA